GACCAAGACUACGGAGCCCCUCCUACCCCCUGUUGUGACCCUAACGUGGGUGGCUUAGGGGUUGUUGACACUUGCCAAAGGUGUAACCCCAGACUCUGGUGGGCGGGAGUGUCCAUAUUCCCGUAGUAGGCUAAGGUACCAACCUGUCCUACCCCAAUGCCCAUAUUAUUAUUAUUAUUAUUAUUAUUGUUUCUGACAUGAGUUGGUAGUUGUCUAACUACAGCAAAAGAUUUAGUUGUAAAUGUCCCUAAUUUGAUGAGAGACACACAAAGUUAACCUGUUUGUUCAUCUUACUCGAAUCGUUUACUAUACUGAAUUGCGAACAAUUAAAAAUAAUGCUCGCAAACUGGUUUCCUUCGCAGCCUGAUAUUGCUAAUGGGAGAUAGCCUUUUGCAUGCAUGGUACAAUGCAAUGUAGCUCUUUUGUGGGAUCCAUGUCUUGCUUUGUUCAGGUGCCAUCAUUUAGAAUUCUCAGUACAAUGUAUUUUGGAUUCCAACAGAAUUGUCCUUGGUGAAAUGGAAACAGUGGAUUCUCUCAAAAUGAGGAUGGCUCUAAGACUGUUGAUACCAGCAGUUAACUUUCAUAUUCUUCAUAACAAAAAGGAGCUGAGGCCUGAAGAUAUAGUGGGAGAUCUAAGGACACCCGAACAAGGAAACUGGCGGAAUUUUGCUGUUAUUCUUCAUCUUACGUAAUUCUCUAAUCAGCAAAAUUCUCCUUGAUGUAAAUGUAUAGAAUUCUGUCGAUUCUUGUUUGUACGUGCAGGCUGGAUGAUUUCUCUACCCUGUUCUUCUGGCAGAAAGAGGAACGGGGAUUGUUAAAAUGCACUUCGACCGCAAUAUGGCAUAUAGUUUAGUCAAGACUUUAUAUGUAUAGGUAAUCACGUGAUUUCGAGUGCAAUUUGGAAUAAACAAGCACCAGUAAAUUUUUCAACGGCUAGCAAAAUUUUGUCGUAGUUUAAAAACUUUAAACGACUUCUUAUUCCAAAUUGCUUGAGCAAAAUCAUGCUUAUUUAACCCAUGGCUUUUCACACAGUUGUCAGAAGAACUUGGUUACAACAAGAAUACUUUGUAAAACUGGGUCGCAUUUCCGAAAGCUUUGUAACGUCAAGUUAAUUAAUGUAUCAAUUACAAAGUUCUGGAAGAAAUCUAGUCGGCUCCUUCAUACGUGUACUUGUAAUCAAAUUGGUAGAACAUGAGUAUAAUGGCUUCUGCCGGUAUGCUUGUAAUCACACAUGGCAUGUAAUCUGCUCACCUACAUGAUCAGUUAAGCUUUUGUAUGAUCUUCAGUAUGUUUUCUCCUCUAGCCCAAGGCUAUUGGGUUUGUUAUCUGAUAAGCAGCUGGGUAUUAUUUCAAUAGACCAUAUUGAUACACACAUGGAUAAGGGGGUUCUGGGGCCGGGGCAAGUUUUGCUUAACUUUUGAGUCUCGCUUCGCGGCUCGCCUCAAAAAUAAACCCAAACUUGCUCGUUCACAGAACCCCCUUAUCCACGUGUGUUUACUGCCUGCGUCUGUUUUCACACCCACUUUUGAACAUUGUCAGAAUUUUUGUAUAUGGAGGCCCAAUCGACGUCAAGCUUUUUCAAGACAUGGCUGUUUAUAUAAAACAAAUCGAAAAGA